ensembl:lncRNA
UGCGCGUCACCGCGGUUUCCUCGCACCGCUGCAGAGGCCUGUAUCUGCUCUCCUGUCACCCUAAAGGGCCUUGAGGGCACGUCCUCCCUACCCUCAAAACUUGGCACAAGGCCUGGCACAUAGUAGGGCUCCAUCACGUUCUAGUCGGAAGACCCUGGAGAGAUGCUCUGGCGCUAAUUCAAAUGUGUGGUGGGAAAAGUCCAGGUGGGCACAGAGGCAGUGAGGAUUUGCCGAGUCACACCACUUGAACCUGGAGGGAGAAGCAGCAACUGCUGCAGUUCUUUUAAGGCUGAUGCUGAAGCUGAAGCUCCAAUACUUUGGCCAUCUGAUGUGAAGGACUGGCUCCUUAGAAAACACCCUGAUGCUGGGAAAGAUUGAAGGCAGGAGGAAAAGGCUUAUUACUUAGUAAUUUGCAACUAAAGCCCCUGUACCACAAGUACUGAAGCCCGCACACCCUAGAGCUUGUGCGCUGCAACAAGAGAAGCCAACGCAGCGCUUCUCUCUCCAUGCAUCGAAAGGAAGAGUAGCCCUGCUCCCUGCAACUAGAGGAAGCCCGAGAAGACCCAGUGCAAGC